rnacentral:rRNA from 1 species
UAAUACGGAGGGUGCAAGCGUUAAUCGGAAUUACUGGGCGUAAAGCGCACGCAGGCGGUUUGUUAAGUCAGAUGUGAAAUCCCCGAGCUUAACUUGGGAACUGCAUUUGAAACUGGCAAGCUAGAGUCUUGUAGAGGGGGGUAGAAUUCCAGGUGUAGCGGUGAAAUGCGUAGAGAUCUGGAGGAAUACCGGUGGCGAAGGCGGCCCCCUGGACAAAGACUGACGCUCAGGUGCGAAAGCGUGGUGAGCAAACAGGAUUAGAUACCCUGGUAGUCCACGCUGUAAACGAUGUCGACUUGGAGGUUGUGCCCUUGAGGCGUGGCUUCCGGAGCUAACGCGUUAAGUCGACCGCCUGGGGAGUACGGCCGCAAGGUUAAA